GUGGGCCAAUGCUAUUAUUACUUAUAGUAUAUUUUAUUAUUUAUUAUUAUGUUAUUUGUUCAUAUUUUUAUUUUUUGAGUUAUAAGCCAUUCAAAGAUGUUAGAAGUAUACAGGGUUGACCAAACGAGGAAAAAGUUGUGCAAUUAGCUUAUCCGAAGACCAAGCCAGAAUGCCUCCUAGAGACCAAGAACUGCUUACACCAAAUCCCCUGUGAAUCUGAAGGGUCAUACAUUGACAAGACAAAGUGAACAUUGUAAUUCAAAAAAACAUCGAAAGAGGACCUGAAUAGGAGUUGCCAGAUCAGGAAUAGCAGAACACGCUUGGUUUAAUGGCUAUUAUGUCCUGUAUGAAAUUAUCAUUUGGAAUGUCUUUGUUAUAAUUUAACAUAGAAUGUCUUGUAUAUUACGAUAUUUUUAUUGUUUAUAAUUAUUUUAAAUAAGUUUAGGAUUUUAAUCGGAAAUCAUUAAAUAUAAUAAUCUUACUAUUUUUA
rnacentral:lncRNA from 1 species